GGGUUAAUGGGGCUGGCAGUCACCAUGGCCCUGUAAGAGUUGGGUGUUGAUAUGGGGGUUAAUGGGGCAGGCAGUCAAGUGGGGCUAUAAUGGGGCUUAAUGGGGGCUGGCAGCCAAGGGGGGGCCUAUAAUAAUGGGGCGACGGAUGCGGGGCUGGUAGCGACCGCAGCCGCCGUGGCCCUAUAAAGGGAGUUAAUGGGGCUGGCAGUCAAUGUGGGGCUGUAAUAAUGGGGGUUAAUGGGGGGUUAAUGGGGCUGGCAGCCAAUGUGGCCCUAUAGGGGGGCUUAAUGGGGGUUAAUAGUAGGGGUCGUAAUGGGGCUGGCAGUCAAUGUGGGGCUACAAUGGGGCUUAAUGGGGGUUAAUGGGGGGUUACUGGGGCUGGCAGCCAAUGUGGCCCUAUAAGGGUUGUAGGGUCAGUAAUGGGGCUGGCAGUCAAUGUGGCUUCUACAAUGGGGGUUAAUGGGGGGUGGUAAUGGGGCUGGCAGCCAAGGAGUGCCUAUAAUAAUGGGGCGACGGAUGCGGGGCUGGUAGCGACCGCAGCCACCGUG
ensembl:lncRNA